UUCCUGACUUGGAGAAGGAGAUUUCUUUCUGUGUCCUCACAUGGUAGAGAGAAAGAGAGAGAGAGAGCAACCUCGAUGGUAUCUCAUCUUAUUAGGGCACCAGUUUCAUCAAGAGGGCAUCAUCUUCAUGGCCUCAUCUAAACCUAAUUAACUCCAAAAGGCCCCAUGUCCCAACACCAUCACAUUGGGGGCUUAGGACUACAACAUAUGAAUUUUGUGGAGUCACAAACAUUGUCUGCAACACUGGAUAAGAACAAGAGAUGAGCAUUAGACAAGAAAUUUUCUUCUUUAGAUCGUAAAAGUACACACUCUUUGUUUUACAAAGAAAGCAUAAGAAGUAAAACUUGGUUGAAAUUUAUAUGUGGGUUUCUUUGGAGAAAAUCCUAUUUACUUUCAAAAAAGUGUCUGAUCUCAGACAAAUUAAACCUUCCUGUGGGCUGACCUUCUGUCAGGUCCUGUUGUGUGUGAUAAGACAGACGAGCUCAAAGAAAAAGCAUUAGACUUUUAUCCUGAGUGAUUUUGUUGCACUUUCCCAGAAUUCAUGCACAGAGAGCCUACAUAAUGAAUAAAUAUCAAUACAUUGGUCGAUAUUUAUGAAAUGCUGCUGGAUACCCAGUCCUAUUCUGGUUGCUCAUGGUUGUGGUGGUGUUGUGGGUGGGAAUCAAGAUAGAUUCACUGGCCUUGAACAGUUUACAGGUUGAUGGAGGAAAGCAUUUGUUGCUCUAGCUCUCACCCAUGUAUAUGUCUAUGAUUUGUUUUGCCGGCUUUAUACAGAAUCCUCAGGUUCCCCCUCAUUUAAUGUGCAAAAUGAAGAUUCUGACAACUAAAAACAAAUUGUUUAGGUGGAUGCAUUCUCAAGAAGAGAAGAAUAAAAAUAAUAUCAAUGUUUUUGCUUCGUAGUAUCCCCCUUCAUAUAUUAUAUGCAGCAUACAUAAUUUUUCAUGGGAAACUAGAUGAAAGAAUUAGGAUUAGAGGGUUUAUGACUUCUUUCAUUUCUUUAUCAUCAGACUCUGAAAGAAACUAAUACCUAUUUACGUGAAGAAAAUGUACAAUUUCUUUAGCUGUCACGGAAAUGUGGUUUAAAAAUAUCUAGUGUGCUCUGCAAAAGCCUUGGCUGAGCUGUGAGAGCAGUCACUUGCCUGUCAGAUGUCUAAUUAUUUCUCCCUCCUCCUCAACCACGCCAGUAGCAGGGAACCACUGAGACCAUAUUGUUGCCCAUAUGUCGGAAAGCUACUAAAUUAAACCCCUGUGUAACAUGCUGACAAGUCUAAUGCAGUAGUUGGAGAUUUGGACCUGGUCUUUGGCUACCUUACUUUGGAUCACUUGGUUGAAACAGUUCCCUUAGUCAACUUGUCCACUGGACUUAAGCUGUGGGACACAGAAAUUUUCCCUGGAAGAACAGAACAAUGAAGAUGAAUAGUUGAAAAAUGAGAGAAUCCUGCAUUCUAAAGGAUCUAGUCUGGAUGCCAGGAGCUGUGUAUAGGAUGAGAGCCUGGUGGACCUGAUUGACCGCCUGUUGUUCAGUUCAGUUCAGAGACUGAAAAUCAGGAUUUGUGCUGGAGAGUCUUUGAACUGUGUGUGAAAGUAUCUGAAGGUCCAUGACAAUUUGAAAGAAGGCAUAUGAAAAAGGUGCAGGAAUCGAAGGCACGAGAUACACCUGAAAGUGGUGGAGCAAUGAAUCUGAACAGGAUGAUGGAUUGAAAGUGCUCAAAAGAGGCAGCUAGGAUCCUGUAUUCAUGUCCUACCACUGCAGCCAGGGAAAGAUCCUCCCACAUCUAUCAGAAGACUGGAGGAUUAUGUCUGGAGAGAUUGAAUUCUAGGGAUGCUCAGGCCCAAAUGAAGGUUUGAGCACACAAUGAAAUGAGUUGAUAUUGACUGUUGGGAACCAGAGUUCUCAGUGGAUGAAGAGACACAGAAAAAUAAAAUGAAGGAAGGCAAAGAAGAUCUCUGAAGAGAUGGAUUGGAAUUGGAAGCAUUAGUAUGAACCAUGAUUCUAAAAUAGUUAUAUAUUGAUGUCUAUGCUUGUAUAUAUCCAGAAGUUUAUGUAUGUAUGUUUAAAUGUGUGUGUAAUAUAUAUGUAUACAUAUAUGUACACAUGUAUAUAUUUCCUAGCUUUGUCUACUGAAAGGGUCCACAAGCAAAAUCUUGUAGCGGAUCUUGGUCUCUAAGAUUGUUCCCUGUUAAAAAAAAAACAGGAUCCGUUGGAGAAAUUGCUGAUUCCAGUGCUGUAGCAGAAAAGGUAAUACAUGAUCCUAAAAUCAGUAGUCUCAUUCUGUUAGAUUACUGUGGGGUUCAGUAUGGUAGCCACUAGUCUCUUGUGCUAUUUAUUUAUUUAUUUUUAUUAUUAUGCUUUAAGU
rnacentral:lncRNA from 1 species